UACGUAGGGCGCAAGCGUUGUCCGGAAUUAUUGGGCGUAAAGAGCUCGUAGCGGCUUGUCACGUCGAUUGUGGAAGCCCGAGGCUUAACCUCGGGUCUGCAGUCGAUACGGGCUAGCUAGAGUGUGGUAGGGGAGAUCGGAAUUCCUGGUGUAGCGGUGAAAUGCGCAGAUAUCAGGAGGAACACCGGUGGCGAAGGCGGGUCUCUGGGCAACAACUGACGCUGAGGCACGAAAGCUAGGGGAGCAAACAGG
rnacentral:rRNA from 1 species